rnacentral:rRNA from 1 species
UACGGAGGGUGCAAGCGUUGCUCGGAAUUACUGGGCGUAAAGGGUAGGUAGGUGGUCUCAUUUGUCUGGGGUGAAAGCCUUGAGCUUAACUCAAGAAGUGCCCCAGAAACGGUGAGACUGGAGUCCUGGAGAGGGUCGUGGAAUUCCCGGUGUAGCGGUGAAAUGCGUAGAGAUCGGGAGGAACACCAGAGGCGAAAGCGGCGACCUGGACAGGCACUGACACUCAACUACGAAAGCGUGGGGAGCAAACAGG